GAUGAACGCUGGCGGCGUGCCUAAUACAUGCAAGUCGAGCGAACGGACGAGAAGCUUGCUUCUCUGAUGUUAGCGGCGGACGGGUGAGUAACACGUGGAUAACCUACCUAUAAGACUGGGAUAACUUCGGGAAACCGGAGCUAAUACCGGAUAAUAUUUUGAACCGCAUGGUUCAAAAGUGAAAGACGGUCUUGCUGUCACUUAUAGAUGGAUCCGCGCUGCAUUAGCUAGUUGGUAAGGUAACGGCUUACCAAGGCGACGAUGCAUAGCCGACCUGAGAGGGUGAUCGGCCACACUGGAACUGAGACACGGUCCAGACUCCUACGGGAGGCAGCAGUAGGGAAUCUUCCGCAAUGGGCGAAAGCCUGACGGGGCAACGCCGCGUGAGUGAUGAAGGUCUUCGGAUCGUAAAACUCUGUUAUUAGGGAAGAACAUAUGUGUAAGUAACUGUGCACAUCUUGACGGUACCUAAUCAGAAAGCCACGGCUAACUACGUG
rnacentral:rRNA from 1 species